CCCUUAGAUGUUCUGGGCCGCACGCGCGCUACAAUGAUGAAUUCAACGAGUUUAUAACCUUGGUUGAAAAGCCUGGGUAAUCUUUUGAACUUUCGUCGUGAUGGGGCUAGACCCUUGCAAUUAUUGGUCUCCAACGAGGAAUUCCUAGUAAACGCAAGUCAUCGGCUUGCAUUGAUUACGUCCCUGCCCUUUGUACACACCGCCCGUCGCACCUACCGAUUGAAUGGUCCGGUGAAAUCUUCGGAUUGAGACUUUGAUUUCUUCACGGAAAACGCUGUUUUAAAAAGUUGAUUAAACCUUACCAUUUAGAGGAAGGUGAAGUCGUAACA
rnacentral:rRNA from 1 species